UACGGAAGGGGCAAGCGUUGUUCGGAAUCAUUGGGCGUAAAGGGCGCGUAGGUGGUUCUGUAUGUCUACCGUGAAAGCAUACGGCUCAACUGUAUUUUGUCGGUAGAAACUGCAGGACUUGAGGCUGGGAGGGGCUGGUGGAAUUCCCUGUGUAGCGGUGAAAUGCGUAGAGAUGGGGGAGAACACUCGUGGCGAAGGCGGCCAGCUAGACCAGUUCUGACACUGAGGCGCGACAGCGUGGGGGAGCAAACAGG
rnacentral:rRNA from 1 species